GCCAAGCAAAGUGAGAGAUCAAGAGAGAUGGCGCCCAAGGCAUUCCCCGCUCUGGUCCUUCUGGCGCUCGUCUGCGGCCAGCUUGUGGUCGACGGCCAUGCCCAGCCCUACACCGGCGGCGGCCGCAUCAGGGGAGGAGGAGGAUCUGCUGCCGGACUACAGCCACCGACUUACCCUCCUGCCCAUGCCCACUCCUCCACCAUUGGAGAAUACAACGGUGCUGCAAGGCCUUCAGCCGUGGAAGAAGACAAGUCCUUCAUGGUCAACAGCCUGCCGGCGCACGACCGCCCGCUUCCUGUCCCGCCUUCCGGCCACUAGUUCGUCCAGGUCCAGGCAGUGCAGCCGAGCUUGAGACCAACGGCCCAGUGGCCAGUACUAAUAUAAGAAUAAAAUCUGUGUGAAGUUGUCAUGUUUGCAGGGUGACUCUGUUUCUGUCAUCAGGGGUAUAAAAGCAGAGCACAACGAAUGAUGUACUGUUGAGGAAGUUGGGACAUAUACAAGUUUAUCCCGAAAUUUCGUUUACAUCUUACCAAAAACAGAAUAUGAGUUAAACCAAACGGUUCACAAACGUUUUUCGAUCUUGCAUUUUCGUACUGAUAAAUGUACAUGGUCGAAAUUACGGCGACCACUCGAACGAAA